UACGAAGGGGGCUAGCGUUGUUCGGAAUUACUGGGCGUAAAGCGCAUGUAGGCGGCUAUUCAAGUCGGGGGUGAAAUCCUGAGGCUCAACCUCAGAACUGCCUUCGAUACUGUGUGGCUAGAGUAUGGAAGAGGUAGGUGGAACUGCGAGUGUAGAGGUGAAAUUCGUAGAUAUUCGCAAGAACACCAGUGGCGAAGGCGGACCUACUGGUCCAUCACUGACGCUGAGAUGCGAAAAGCGUGGGGAGCAAACAGG
rnacentral:rRNA from 1 species